rnacentral:tRNA from 1 species
AAAAAGUUAGUUAAUGUAUAACAUUAGUAUGUCAAUCUAAAAUUAUUAAUAUAAUUAAUACUUUUUU